rnacentral:lncRNA from 1 species
AACAAUUGUAAUUCAUUCAGCUUCAAACUAGGAAAAAAUCAGAAAGAAAAACCAAAAUGUUGAAAAUUCGAUUCAUACUUGAAGACUCAUUAUACUACUAUGAUUUACAAAAGAAAAAUAACAAAGGUGUGCAUUUAUACUACAAUUCAUGAGAGAAACUUUAUAACUAAACUAAACUACUGGGCCUAAAGCCCAAGCCCAAUAUCCUAGGCCCCUGAAAGCUUGGACCAAUCACUGCCUGCUAUGUGAGUUCUUCCAUCGGGAGUCAAAGCUGGGUAUGGUCAAAUUCCACAGAUAUGGGCCUGAAUAUUUACCAGGCCCAAUAUGUACAUUACAUGAAAUUCAAAGCAUUUAACAGACCUUCCUUUACAAAAUGAGAUCCCCAUUUAGUUCAAUGUUAAAACAACCAGUCCUGAAUACAUUUGAUAGGAGAAAUCGAUGCUAAAAAAACUAAAACGAGUUAAUUACAUGAAGAGCCUUAUAAGCAUAAAAACAACUUUAAAAUUUUGGCUAAAACUUAAAGAUAAAAACGUACACAGUUAUCAUGCUGCCUUCUGUAGAAUUGACAUGAAAAGCUGCCUUGAUUUAAAUUGCACCUUGGAUGGCUUUGAACAACUUGUGGUCAAACCAAACAAGUUAGCCUUCUGGACUGUAUCAAACCAAAAAGCACACACUACUUAAUACUUACUACACUUAAAGAAAACUGAGUUUUAAGUAGGUGGUCACAUAGGAACUAGGUUAAAUGGAAAUGAUCAAACAAACCAGUAAAGCACACACCAAAACAUCUCAAGGAGUCAUGGACAUUUAAAACAAGCAAAUGAACUGAUAAGGUCUUUAAAACACCAGUUUUACAUUCAGCUUUUCCAAGCAAAUAGUUACAGAAGGUAAAAGGAACACACCUAAAUGCAGAAAUAGGCUGAUAAAAGACCAAAUAAAGGUCAAAAAACCAAAAUAAUCAAAACUAGCCCAGCAAACCACAAACUUAGAAGAAACAACUUAACAGUGCUGAAAAACCAACGGAAUCAAGUAGCAAAACAGCAGUAUCACAGCAGUCUCAACUCAAACCAUCUUGCAACCAAAAGCCCAGAAAUUUUGAAAGAGAAAUAUUCUGAGUAUUCUUCUAAGUUUUUGCAAAAUCAGAUGUGCUUUUCAGAGGUUUUGUGUAGAGAAAUCAGGCUGAGUCUGUAUUUUAUUUUUGAGUAAACUUAGAAUGAGAAAAAAUGCAGAGAACUUUUAGGUCUUUUUUAGGUUAUCCAAAUCUCAAUCAAUUUUUUUGUAUAGAAAUGGUACCAUAUAUAGGUACCAAAGAUGCCAUGUGCUGUAGGAAUUAUUCCUCAGCCACAAAAAGCAUAUUCCAACAGAAUUGGAUAGCUGGUUUUCCCUUAUUGCUUUCAGUACUUUGUACUAACCAAAU